AUCUCGUAAACAAUCACCCACCAUGCCUGGCCCCUACCCUGGACACUCUGACGAAGCUUUCCCGGGGGUUUUCAACCUGUCGGCCAUGCCCCCUCAGCCCAAGGAGAAAAAACCAGGUCAGCUUCCAGAGGAGGACAUCCGACGCUUUUUUGAAGAGGGAUAUGUCGUUUUGAAGGAUUUCUUCUCCCCUAGUGAACUGGAACCCUGUAAGAAAGCUUUAGAAAAACUUGUCGAUGAUGUAGCUCAGCGUCUCUACAAAGCCGGCAAAAUAUCCAGUUUGUACGAAGACUGCGAUCCUUUCCACGAACGACUGCAGAAAAUUGACAAAGAGUGGCCAGGAGCAGCCAUCUUGGUGAUAAAAAACCAAGUACUUCCCCAGGCAAUGAAGGACAUUUGGACGAAUGAACGCCUGUUGAACGUAGUUGAACAACUGAUAGGACCAAACAUUGCAGGCAACUGUGUGUACAACAUCCGGUCCAAGCUUCCGAACCACGAACCCACUGUCGUGCCGUGGCACCAAGAUAACGGUUACUUCGACAAGGAUGCGUACCGGCAGCUGAUACCCACGGCUUGGAUACCGUUUGUGGAUGCAAAUAAGCAGAAUGGUGGCCUACAGAUUGCACGUCGCGGACAGAAGACAGGGCGCACUGCUGACCACACCUGCUGCUGGCAGGGAACCUGGUACAUCAUGCUGGACGAGAGCGAAAUGAAGAAUACCCUCGAUGUGGACUUAGAGAAGGACAUUCAAGUAGUAGAUGUUCCAUACGGGGGAAUGGUUCUAUUCAGCAAUGUCAUACCCCAUCAGAGCUUGCCCAAUGUAACGAACAAGAUUCGAUGGUCCAUGGAUCUCAGAUGGCAAGAUGCAAACAAGCCUCCUGCGUUCCAUGGUCUGAAAAACCACAUUGUUUUCCGGACAGAAAAAGAGCCUAACCACGUGAUUGACUGGGCGACCUUUGAGGCAGUAGACAGAACGGAAGUCCAGCUGAAAGCUGUGGAGGAUCUCCGAGUAAGUAACGGUAGAGGAUAUCCGAGUAAGUAACGGUAGAGGAUAUCCGUGAAGAUAACAGAGGAUAGCUGAGUAAGUAAUGGUAGAGGAUAUCUAUGUAGGUAACGUUAGAGGAUAGCCGAGUAAGUAACGAUAGAGGAUAUCAGAGUAUGUAAUGUUAAAGGAUAUCCGAGGAAUUAACGGUUGAGGUUAUCAGAGUUAGUAACGGCAGAGGUUAUCAGAGUAAGUAACGGUAGAGGAUAUCCGAAUAGAUAACGUUAGAGGAUAUUCGAGUGAAUAGUUGUAGAUGAAAUCCGUUAAGUAACGGUUUAAGGCAUUGAUUACGGCUCUCUUUUGUAGGAGGAUAAACCAGAGAAGGGAUUCGACACGCUGGUUUCUGGCCCCUGGAUGAAAAUGUGGGAAAUUAAUAACAUAAAUAGACAUGUCAUCUUCUAACGAGUGAUAUUGAAAACUUUGUUUUCUCAAAUAGAUUUACUAUGUAUAUAUGCACAUUUUUGGCACUAGUCUAUGAUGACAAUAAACUGUGUUAUGUC
rnacentral:misc_RNA from 1 species